AAAAUGUUAUGAAAUUGGCCUAAAAUUCCCAAAUCUCACCGAUCAUGUCAUGGGUGGACGUUUAAAUCUUGAAGCGGUAGGGUUUAGGGCAUGAUUUUAUCUCCAACCCGAUCGUCUCCUUCCCUCCCUCCAAAAUAUUCGAAGCCCAUCAUUAGACUCAUUUUCCUUCUCCCAAAUUCCCAUUAGGGUUAGGGUUCUCACUGCUUCAGUUUCCGAGUAAGACACGCUAAUAACCCACUAUGGCGAGGUACCGGAGCCGGAGCAGAAGUUACAGCCCUCGCCGGCGUAGUAGAACCCCACCACGCGGGCGGAAGAGGUAUGACGAUGACCCUCGAGACCGUUACCGCGAAAGCAGGUCUCAUAGGGACCGUCGUUCUCCUGCUCCUUCUGGGUUACUCGUGCGUAAUCUUCCGCUUGAUGCUAGGCCUGAAGAUCUUAGGAUCCCGUUUGAGCGAUUUGGUCCUGUUAAGGACGUGUAUCUGCCGAAGAACUACUACACUGGGGAGCCUCGAGGAUUUGGAUUUGUGAAGUUUCGGUUUGCAGAAGAUGCGGCUGAAGCAAAACAACAGCUAAAUCAUACAGUUAUAGGUGGACGGGAGAUACGAAUCGUAUUUGCUGAGGAGAACAGGAAAACUCCUCAAGAAAUGCGUGUGACGUCACGCUCAAGUGGUAGAAGCUACAGAAGACGUUCUCCAGCAAGGUCUCCGAGACGGCGAUAUCGUUCUUACUCGCGCUCACCUUCACCUGCCAGGCACGACUCAAGGUUGGAUCUUAUUUAUCAUACUUGUUUUACUUCUAGCAAGACUAACAUCAUUAUUGUCCUGCUUUUUUCCAUCACUUCUUACUUCUGUACAUUACUAUGAAUUUUGGUCGUUCCUGUCUUGAUGUUUACUUGUUUAGUAAGCUGCACAUGCCUUCUUUGAAUUUUAUAAUUUAGUACUGUAACAUGUCAAAGCAUUCUUUUUGGAUGAGAAGCAUUGUAUAAUAUUUUUGAAAUUUUGUACUUGUCUUAUAUAGAAUACCCAAACGCCAAACCCCCAAAAUGGAAGUGCUUAUUCCUUGUUUUAAUUUUCAGUGGAACCAAAAUGAUUUUGUGUGUAAAUUUAAUGUACAAUUAAGUUUAUUUUGGGUGAAAAUCAUUUUUGUAGAAAUAUUUCGAUAUAUUCAAUGUAAUUCUAUUUUCGACCAGAACCUCAAGGCUUCGGUUUUGUCAAGAGCCUCUUAAAUUUAUCAAUGGUGUUUCAAUUUUAAGUACAAAAUCCAUUUCUAAUGGAUGAGCCAUUUUUGCUCCUUUGUCAUGUUGUGAAGUUCAUAGUCAAUAUAAAUAGUACUCUGCUGUGGUUUCUGAAAUGGUAAUAAUCACUUUCGUCAUUUUUAUAAUGACUCGAGAAAUGCUUCUAAUCAUUUAAAAUCAAUUUUGUAGUCUGAAAAAUGCAUUUAAGAGAGAAAAUUAAAAAUUGAAUUGAUCUUGAGUGACUAAAGGUGUGUUUCAAAGUGAUUUUAGUACAUGACAAGGGAUUUUAACAAUUUCAAAAUCACCCCCAAACAUGCACUAAAUAGUUUGACAACAAUUGUGGCACUUCUAAUCUUCAUUUCCUCAUUAGGUUUAUAACAUCAAAUCUAUAUAUUAAUUCUAAGCAACAGUUUCAGUUUUUUGUUGUUUUACAAGCUUUAGUUGUAGAAUUUUUAUUUCAUAUGCUUGAAUGUUAUCAUGGAUAAGCAAAAACACAGAAUUUAAUGUUUGAUUUGAUGCACGUGGAAUAUUCUACUCCCUUCAUGGUACAGAGUUGCAUUGCAGGACAUUGUAUACAAUCUACUUGAUUCCUUGUUUAUGCAGAUAUUAAAGUGUAAAGGGAGACUUUAAAGACUUGUUGAUUAAUAAAGUUUAACAAGAAAAGCGAUCAUAAAGUGAUGGGCAACUUGCUUACUUUACCUAUCGAACCCUCUCCAUGAGUACAAUCUAUUACUUUUUUUAAUUACGUUAGUUGCAUGGUUUUUAUUGUUUGUUUACAUCUGUUUUGUUAGGCAGAAGUUGAGCAUUGACGAGAGUUUUAAAUCAAAAUUUAUCUCUGGUUCUUUUUUCCCCAUUUUUCCUCCCUUACAAAUCUCAACCAUUUAUCAGCAAGAAAGUGAUCUUUAAGUUUGAUAUCUUCUUUUGCAUAUACUAUCCAGUUAAGAAAGAUUAGAGCUUAUAGUUGGCCAAAGAAAGAAAUCAUCUUCAAAGGAGAAAAGGCCAAAGUUUUACUGGUUGUCGUAUGGUGACAUUGUCCAAGAAAAGAUAAUGUGUUUUUUAGAAAGUUGGGGCAAAGAGAGCUAUGAACUUGUCAGAAGCUGAUCAACCAGUACAGCUUAAUAGAGCAUAAUUCUCAGUGUUUGGAUCUACUUGUCAUUAUUUUGUUCGGAAACCUGAAAAUGGUGCAGGUAAAAGUCAUGUUUUAGUUGAACAGUUUUGAAAAUGAUGUUGAUAGAAAAUUGUGCUUAUAAAAGUAUGAUCAAGUAUCAUAAGUACCUAUUGAACGUACCUCAUUGGGGCCUUUGAAGACUGCUUGGACAGGAGCCGUGGGGCAAGGGAUGAGUAUCUAUCUCCUGCACGAUCGAGAUCAAUUUCACAUUCUCGUUCCCCUCGUGAUAGGCAGGAUUACAGCCGAUCUCCUACUCCAAAGGAUAAUGGUCGCAGCCCUCGUGAAGUGGAUAAUGCACGGAG